UGGUAAAGUCAGAAACCUCGGCUGUAGUAGGGUUUUCUGAACCUAUUUCGAAAGAGGUGUAUGUACCCCUAAAUUUGUCUUUACUGUGAAGUUUGUCGUUAGGUGCUCACUGGCUUCGGUUGGACGUGUUCGGAUUGGGCCAAGCCGAGUUUCUAUUAGGCCGAAAGGAUUACAAAGUCCAAGAAUGAGCUCGGCUCUCUACGAGUGCGAGCUAAAGAGUUUGUUACAAAAGCGGGUCCUACCCCAUAUCAACCAUCGCCGACUUCAACAUUCAGAAGAGAGUAACGGAGGAAGAGAGUAGAGAGAGAAGUAUCACAGAGGAGAGAGAGAGCUUAGCGAGAUAGAGAGAUCCGAUCCUGAUCACAGCUCUGGAGUCCACAAAGCUUUCUCUGGUUCCGUUUACGUGUCCUUGUCGUCUUCCAAGGAAUCAAAAGCUGAGGGGUCGUCUUCUUCUUUGUAAUUGAUGUGGUAUUCUUCUCCGGGAUUGGGAUAUAUCUAAACAACUUCUACUAAAGAAGAAACUGAUGUGGAUACCAGUACUAAAAAAGAGAGAAAGAAGGAUCCUAUGGCUAAGGAGAAGACACGAGAGCUAGAAACCUUAUUUGUUCGAGUUUGACAAAUAUGGUGUUGAGGAAGGUGAUGAAAGAGACGACUGUUAUGGGAGUUUGGAAGGUGAUUCUCAGACUAGGACACCUUUUUGAAGCUUGUUUAUGGUCUCACAAGUCUGGACAUAAAUGUUUCAGAUGAGGAUCAAGCAAUAUAGAUCCUCCCCAAUCUUCCACCACAAUACAAAUCCUUGGUUCAUACACUCACUACAAGAAUAUCGAGUAUUCAUAGCACACCAGUAUAUAGCGUUUUUUUUUUUUUGCUAUGGUUUACGACACGCGGAUUUUUGUAUAGCGUUUGGUUUUAAUGAAACGCUAUCUUUAGAUAUACGGUUUAUAUUCACUAAGAUUAAUCGAUUUAGGGUUUUCAUCUGUUAGAUAUAUGGUUUAUAUUCACUAAGAUUAAUCGAUUUAGGGUUCUUCAAUUUCGUCAUCAAGUUUUGUUCUAACUAAUACUCGAUGCUUCUUAAUCUGCAGAUAUCUUCUCAAAUCAAAGGAGUACACUUAUUUUAGGGGUGAGUUUCUCGUUCCUUCGAUAUUGUUAUGAGAUUUUAGUUUUCUGUUUCAGUGUAGUGAUUUACAUAUACCGUGUGUGAUAUACGCAACCUUACUCGUGUAUUGUACGUACGCUUGGAUCUGGAGCACUGUUUUAUUUAACAAUGGACAAGAAUUGGGUUUGGCUACCAAGGAAGGAGCAUUUGCUUUUGUGAAAGAAAUAGCUUUGAGAUUGGGUCAUCCGAGUGAUUUGUUGUGUCCCUGCAUUGACUGCCGCAACUUGUAUCAUCAGCCAACAGAUACAGUGGUGGAUCAGUUAAUCAUCAAGGGUAUGGACCAGAAAUACAAGAGGAAGGAGAGUUAGUUUGAACAUGGAGAUGUGAAGGCUGAUAAGCCAUCAGAUAUCGGAAGUGAAGAGUAUGUAGCUUAUGACUUGUUCAGAACUGCUUUCUUUGAUGGUGAAGCUCCACAGCCCCAUAACGACGAUGAAGUUCAGAUAGAAGAAGGUGACAGUAAAGAGGAAUCUGAGUUUAGGAAGAAACUGGAAGAUGCUGAAACUCCACUAUAUUCUAGAUGUCCCAACUACACGAAGGUUUCAGCAAUUAUGGCGCUUUACCGCAUCAAAUUUAAGUGUGGUAUGUCUGAGAAUUACUUCGACCAGAUGAUUAUGCGUUUAAGCACCCACCAAUUAACCUAAUGUGCCAACAAUACCACAAUCGAAUGGUAUGUCAUUGUAGCAUUUUAGGAUCGAAUCCACAGAGAACUAGAGACUUAUAACACCAAGAAUACACAAACCUUCCUAAUCUAAGCAAACAAGAAGAUAGAUGAUUUGUAACAAACUAAUAUCCUAGAAAUAUAAACAAGGUGAUCUCAAAUCCAAUCAAGAAAUAAGUGCAAGAAUUCAAUCAAAUACUAAGGAUGGAUCCAUGGUAAGGAUAAUUG